rnacentral:tRNA from 9 species
GGUCUGUUGGUGAAGUGAUUAACACACAUGCCUUUCACGCAUGCAUGCAUGGGUUUGAAUCCCAUACAGAUCGCCA